AAAACGCGUAAUUCAGUGUGAAUUGCAGAUCUACGCGAAUCAUCAAUAUUUUGAAUGUAAAUGACGGGCGGUUCUCUUCGGAGGACACGCUCGUAGAUUUUUGAGCGCGGCUAAUUAUUCAAUACCCUUCCUCCCACCUAAUAAAAAAAAAAUAAUUUUAUACGGGGAGGCCUCCUAAAGAAUUUUACUAGGGAGGAGGAAAAAGGUGCGAUUCAAGAAGCCGAUUCCAGGGAAAGAAGAAACUUACCCUGGUAAGGCAAGGGAAAGAAAAAAAAUUUGUCUAGGGAAAAAAAAAAUAUUCUAAAUAUUAAUCUCGUAUUCAAAAAUAAAAUUUAUAAAAAUUUCAAAUACCUCCGUCUCAAACAUCUACAAUUACCCCGUGAAUUUAAGC
rnacentral:misc_RNA from 1 species